rnacentral:snRNA from 1 species
GUGCUCGCUUCAGCAGCACAUAUACUAAAAUUGGAAUGAUACAGAGAAGAUCAGCAUGGCCCCUGCACAAGGAUUACAUGCAAAUUCGAGAAGCUUUCCAUAUUUUU